rnacentral:snoRNA from 1 species
CCACUGGAUGACGAUGAACUAAUGGAAUACAUCCUUGCUGGUCUUGACGAGGAAUACGAUUCUGUUGUCAAUGCGGUUCUUGCACAUGCCUAUCUGAUUACUGUAAGUGAACUUGUUUUGCAGAUGCUGUCGUUCGAGC